CCUACGGGUGGCUGCAGUGGGGAAUAUUGGACAAUGGGGGCAACCCUGAUCCAGCCAUGCCGCGUGUGUGAAGAAGGCCCUCGGGUUGUAAAGCACUUUCAGUGAGGAAGAACGCCUGGUGGUUAAUACCCAGCAGGAAAGACAUCACUCACAGAAGAAGCACCGGCUAACUCCGUGCCAGCAGCCGCGGUAAUACGGAGGGUGCGAGCGUUAAUCGGAAUUACUGGGCGUAAAGCGCGCGUAGGUGGCUUGAUAAGCCGGUUGUGAAAGCCCCGGGCUCAACCUGGGAACGGCAUCCGGAACUGUCAAGCUAGAGUGCAGGAGAGGAAGGUAGAAUUCCCGGUGUAGCGGUGAAAUGCGUAGAGAUCGGGAGGAAUACCAGUGGCGAAGGCGGCCUUCUGGACUGACACUGACACUGAGGUGCGAAAGCGUGGGUAGCAAACAGGAUUAGAUACCCUUGUAGUC
rnacentral:rRNA from 1 species